GACGAACGCUGGCGGCGUGCUUAACACAUGCAAGUCGAACGGUAAGGCCCUUCGGGGUACACGGGUGGCGAACGGGUGAGUAACACGUGGGUGAUCUGCCCUGCACUUCGGGAUAAGCCUGGGAAACUGGGUCUAAUACCGGAUAGGACUCCGGACUGCAUGGUCUGGGGUGGAAAGCUUUUGCGGUGUGGGAUGGGCCCGCGGCCUAUCAGCUUGUUGGUGGGGUGAUGGCCUACCAAGGCGACGACGGGUAGCCGGCCUGAGUGGGUGACCGGCAACACUGGGACUGAGAUACGGCCCAGACUCCUACGGGAGGCAGCAGUGGGGAAUAUUGCACAAUGGGCGCAAGCCUGAUGCAGCGACGCCGCGUGAGGGAUGACGGCCUUCGGGUUGUAAACCUCUUUCAGCAUCGACGAAGCGAAAGUGACGGUAGGUGCAGAAGAAGGACCGGCCAACUACGUGCCAGCAGCCGCCGUAA
rnacentral:rRNA from 1 species